rnacentral:rRNA from 1 species
UACGAAGGGGGCUAGCGUUGCUCGGAAUCACUGGGCGUAAAGCGCACGUAGGCGGACUGUUAAGUCAGGGGUGAAAUCCCGGGGCUCAACCCCGGAACUGCCUUUGAUACUGGCGGUCUCGAGUCCGGAAGAGGUUAGUGGAAUUCCCAGUGUAGAGGUGAAAUUCGUAGAUAUUGGGAAGAACACCAGUGGCGAAGGCGGCUAACUGGUCCGGUACUGACGCUGAGGUGCGAAAGCGUGGGGAGCAAACAGG